CCGAGUAGUAGGCGGCGAGCUGUAGUCUCGCAGGCGGGGGAAGAAAGUCCCCCAGCUACCA
rnacentral:tRNA from 1 species